rnacentral:lncRNA from 1 species
AAAAAAAAAGAAGGAAAGGCUCUCAAAAAAUCAAUUAGGGUUUAGUAUACACAAACGAGAAAACAAAACUGCUUUCGGCUGCCUUAUUAUUUCACUCACAACAGAAACUGCUUUCGGCUGCCCUCUCAUCUCACUUCCAAAUGGGUUCUCUAUCUUUGCCUGGUCCCGGCGUACCUCCUGGUCCCGGCGAACCUCCUGGUCCCGGCGAACCUCCUGGCCCCGGCGAACCUCCUGGCCCCGGCGAACCUCCUGGUCCCGGCGAACCUCCUGGCCCCGGCGAACCUCCUG